GACGAACGCUGGCGGCGUGCUUAACACAUGCAAGUCGAACGAAGUGGCGAACGGGUGAGUAACGCGUAAUCAACCUGCCCUUCAGAGGGGGACAACAGUUGGAAACGACUGCUAAUACGGCAUACUGAAGGAGGGGAUUGCGUCUGAUUAGCUGGUUGGUGGGGUAAAGGCCUACCAAGGCGACGAUCAGUAGCUGGUCUGAGAGGAUGAUCCGCCACACUGGGACUGAGACACGGCCCAGACUCCUACGGGAGGCAGCAGUGGGGAAUUUUGGACAAUGGGCGCAAGCCUGAUCCAGCCAUGCCGCGUGUCUGAAGAAGGCCUUCGGGUUGUAAAUGACUUUUGUCAGGGAAGCGGUACCUGAAGAAUAAGCACCGGCUAACUACGUGCCAGCAGCCGCGGUAAUAC
rnacentral:rRNA from 1 species